GGAAGGAGACCUCAGCGGACGACCAGCCCGGACUGAGUGCCGGGUCACCCCCGCCGCCCGCCCCGCCGAGCCGUUGAAACGACCCCGCGGCGGCCCCUCCGCGCGGGGGUCAGGCGGCCUGCCGGCGCUGCCUGGGUCACACUCAGACCCGAAGGGAGCCCGCCCGGGGCAGAGCGAGGCCAGGGCUUCUCCUCCCGGCGCCGCGCGGAUUCGCGCCGGUGCCGUACGACAGAGCCGCCGGGUGCUGGGCACUGGACAGGCACCUAGCAGUUCCCGGGGGAAUGAGGCGCGACCUUGCCCUGAAAGAGCCUAUCUGGUAUUCGAUAGAUGCUGCAAUAGCGAAUGGAGAUGCUGUAAUGGAGGAGCCGUGUGGCCUGCCGCCGGCCCUUCCUCGCAGGUAUGUUAGGGAAGACUAGGACAUAUAAAAACACCGUUCCAGGAAUUCAUGGUGUUGCCAGAGACUUGCAGUGUGUCUGCAGAAACUGACUCUCGACUGUCUCCACCUAUCAGACCAUAUCCAUACUGGAGGCACCUCUUUCUAUAUGGGCCAGACAGUUAAUUGAGGACUCUACUGCAUGGAGUACAGUCCCAGCCCUGUGGUACUGAGUCCAGUAUCAAAACCUAAGAAUAUGGAGGCAACUCCUGCAGCACCUUCAGAAACUUGGACUGGCAAGUAUGCACCCUCAAGACUUUGUGGACCUGGAGCCCACUCUCAUAGAUGCCUAUGGCUGCUGCACAGUUAAAAAAAAAAAAAAAUCAUUGAUCCAAUGCUGGAGUUUAUCCAGAAACUGACAGAGCAGUUCAUAGGGCUAUGGGAUUUCAUGAUCUUCCCCAGCUCUGGGGAUAUCUCUGCCCAGGCUUCACUUUGCUGCUGGUGGAGGAGCUGUCCUUGACCAUGGCAAGAAGUCCAAGCUGGUAUCACCCAGCCCCUGGGUGCUGCCAGCCGUGGAGGAACCCAUGCUGCUUCAUUGUGACUGCCAUACCACCCUGGAGUUCCUGGACUGUGUCUUCUUGGGAGACAGUGAGACCAACAUCUUUUGAUGCAACCUGUACCUGGACAGCUCCUCCUACACCACCCUCAGUCACUGCUUGGCCAGACCUCCAUCACUGCCUCCCUGUUACUUUGGUGGUGCCCAGAGAGCACACCUCCCAGAGUUCCAGGCCAACCUGGUGCCCUAUUUCCAAAUCCACUUCUUUUUAAUGACAUACUAACCAGUUACUUUGAUUAAGCAGUACUUAUAUUGGGGGAUCACUUGCACCUACUUUGAACUCUUUCUCAUCAGAUGGUCAGAUGUGACACUCAUCAAGGCAAAUUCAUAGCCUGCUCUGCCUGCUCUACCCCAGGGCUGUGGCGUCCAAAGAACUAAUGCUGCUGUUAUACCACCAAGACCAUUAUACCACCAUUAUACCAGUGUACCAUAGAAGUUGAUGACUGGUGCCCCACUGUUGUCAAGGUUGGCUUUAAUUUCUAGCCCCUCAACAGUGAUUCUCCAGGAGAAAUGCUGAACACCACCAUGGCCAUCAGAGAGGGCUGGGCCUUUAUCACAAGUCUGCCAGGCUAGCACUUGCAAACCAGAAUGAGGAUAAGGGCAUGAAGGGUUUUCUGAGGACUUCGAUGGCCUUGCUGCCCUGUAAAUGUUGAUAAAGUGCUGUGAUUAAACGGAGUGAGAAAUCAAGUGUGGCAGGGAAAUAAAAAGACAUGGGAUAGUAAGGGAAAAUGGUAGCUGGAUCCAGGGAAGGGCUGGAUACCAGUCAGCUGUAUGACCUGGGGAGGUUUGGAAUCACAUGAUCAGGGCUUCUCAGACUCUAACCUGCAUCCACACUUCCUGUGGAUCUUGUUAAAUGGCAAAUUCAGCUUCUGUAGGUCUGGGGUGGUGCCUGAGAUUCUGUAUUUCUAACCGGCUCCCAGUGAUGCAUGUGUUUCAGCUGCCAGUCAGCAGACUACCCUUUAAAUAACAAAGCUCUUGAACAGCCCUGUCCAGUAGAACUUUCUGCAAUCAUGGAAAUGUUCUGAAUCCCCACUUUCCAGUAUAGUAGCCAUGAGUCACAUGUAUCUACAGAGCAUUUGAAAUGUGGCUAGUGUGACUGAAUUUUUCAUUUUAAUUAAUUUAAUUUUAAAGCCACAUGUGGCUAAUGCUACCAUGUUGGACAGCAAGAUCUAGAUUUAUGAAAAUGAGUUUGAGACCAGACAAUUCCCACGGUCUCAUCUGAUGUCCUGUGGUUCCAAGUUGUUGUUUUCAAAGUGUGUGUGGAGGGUGAGGAUAGGAGUUUGAUGAGGGGACGGAUGUUAAAGUCUGGAGUAAAGCAUGAAGGGUUGGCAGUUCCACCAAAUGGAAAAUAGUUUGAGAGUUACCUGUUUAAAAUAUAGAAUAUUUUGUCUUUUUGUACGUAAGUUGUCAAAUUUAUUGGCAUAAGCUCUUUGUAAUGUUGCCUAAUUAUCUUUCUAAUGUUGUUAGGCUCUGUAGUGAUGGCCUCUUUUCAAACCUGAUAUUGUUCACUUGCACUUUCUUUUUUUCCCCUGGUCAGUUAGCUAAGAAUUUAUCAAUUUUAUUAGUCUCAAAGAACCAACUUUUGGCAAUUUCAUGGAUUUUGCUUUUUCUACAUACGCUCUGGAGAGCUUUCCAUAUUACUGCAUAUAGAUUUACCUCAUUUUUCAUAAUUGCUAUCACAGUAUUUAAUCAUAGGCAUUCUCAUUAAUUUUUCUUUCCUUUUUUUUCUAUUAGAAUACUGAAGGGAACCUCCUUUUACAUGCCUCUAUAUGCACAUGAGAAAGGCCAGGACCUUCCCCUCCCCCGCAGCU